rnacentral:tRNA from 3 species
GCGGAUGUAGUUUAGUGGUAAAAUAUUAGCUUCCCAAGCUGAGGUUGCGGGUUCGAUUCCCGUCAUCCGCUCCA